AUAUCAAUAAUCGUCCUUAUCCCCCCUUCUUCACAAAAACACCCAAUAUUCAACAUCAACAACAACAACUAGUCAAUCCAAAAUCUGAACCUGAUCAACUCCGGUGACCCGAUUUCCACCCGACAGGACCCUCUAACGACCCAUUCCUUGUUCAAACAUCUACCCCUUUUCACCCUCACGUGAUUAACACGAAUUUGGUACGAGAAACCUUGGAAUCUUCUAGAAACAAGGCUAGGUAUCCUUUCCAACAUCCCAACUCCGCAAAUCUUGGGAUAAUGGUACAAGGUUGGUAUGUAUUUUGAUGAUUUUGAUUGGUUUGAGGAAGACUAUUCUAUUUCCCCAUCUUUUAUUAGCUUUCUUCAAAAAUCUGUUGAAGAUAAUCCAAAAUAGGGGUCCUUGUUAAUGAAACCCCAAGUUGGAGAAGGGAAUUCAAAUUUCAAAUUCCAAAUAUCCCAAUUUAAAAUUCUAAAAUUACCCUCCUAUCUUAAGUUUUUUUUGGCAUCGGUUGAGUCCUAUUGAGAGGACUCUUUCAUCCUCUAUAAAUAGCGCUCUUGAGAGCAGAUUUAGGGGUGGAAAAUUUUGGGGGUUAAAAAUUAGGGUUCGAGAAUUAGGACGAAAAAUUCUAGGGUUUCUUUUCUCGUCUUUCUAGGUUAGGUUCGAAAUUCUAGGGUUGAAAAUUUUGAUUGAGGAAGCUGGGUUCGAUUUUUAGUGGUCCAAAAAGGGAAGGAAAAUUCGAGGUCAUAGAAAAGGGAGAAAACUCUUAGAGUCUCGUGAAUUCAUCAGCUAGUCGAAGUUCUGAAGUUGACUAUGACGCACCUCCGGUGGUGGUGAAAUCAAACACCAGCUCAUAGCCCAUUUUUCUACUCUCGAAAAGGUGGAUAUCACAGCUACUGCCAAAGAGCAUAAUAUGACAGUUGAUAAUCCAUAAACUGCUUGCAAAGAUGAAGAAAAAGUGGAGCCUGUCAGUUUGGGAGAAUGGACAAAUUAUCCGUUUGAAGAGUUCAACAUCUUGGACGAGGCUCUAAAAAAUCUAACACAGUUGAUCAAUGAUUAUUCAGAAUGGAUUGCCGAUAGGCUGUUAAAGCAUCAUACCGACAGAAAACAAAAUAAAGAGUACUACAAAGUGAACGAAGCGAGUCUUGGUUUUGAUAUGUUCGACUUUGUUGUUGCACAUCCCGGAAUGAAGAAUUGGUUCUAUUUGAUGUCACAGCCUCAAAAUUUAUGGAAUGAUGAGGU